rfam:Schistosoma mattheei strain Denwood, Zambia genome assembly, scaffold: SMTD_contig0021550
AUUCAGCUGACGAGUCUCAAAUAGGACAAAGCGCGUGUCCUGGAU